UUACGGCCAUAUCAUGUUGAAAUACCAGUUCCCGUACAGUCAUCGAAUUUAAGCAACGCCGAGGCUGGUCAGUAUCUAGAUGGGUGACUUCUUGGGAAUACCAGAUGCUGUAA